CGAAGUCCUUCUAAAAGAUAGGAAUGACCUUUUUAUUCCCAAUGGUGGAAGAAAGGAAAAUUGUAUAGACCAAAUACCUUUUAUUUGCGAUUUUAACUGUAAACAUAAGGAAAUUAAAAGAGCUUUUAAUAAAUACUGGCCGAUACUAACUAAAGAUCCAGUUUUAAGCUCUAUACUCCCUGAUAAACCCAACAUUAUUUAUAGAGGAGUAUCUAACCUUAAGAACAAAUUAGUUCACAGCCAUCUACAAAAGAAAAGAGUCUCAUUUAAUACAUUUAAUGAGGAGGGUGGUUUUUAUGGCUGUGGGAACUGUGGGGCAUGCUCCAAUACAAAUAAUAAGAAAAGACAUAUUAAAGAGUUUCCACAUCUAGAUAAAGAGAGAUUUGAAAUUAAACAACUAAUAACUUGUUAUUCUAAAAGAGUAAUAUAUAUUAUUAUUUGUACAUGUGGACUAUUAUAUGUUGGACGAACGACACGAGCACUACAUGUGAGGAUCCAGGAGCAUGUUAGGAAUAUAAAAUGAAGGUUUGAAAAACAUAGCCUUUCAUAUCACUUUAAGAUCAAACAUGAAAUGGAUCCGACCCAACUUUCUUUUCUGGGAAUACAACAGGUUACAACUAACUGGAGAGGGGAGGAGCUCAUAACAGCAAUGGGGAAGGCUGAGAUGAGGUGGAUUUUUAACCUUAAUUCCCUUACUCCAUUUGGACUCAAUGCUGAUUUUGAAUUGUGUCUUUUUUUUAUAAUACAUAUUUUAAUUAUC